rnacentral:lncRNA from 1 species
CUACGACCAUAAAUCCUGGCUGACUCAGGCUCUGAUGUUCUGAGAUGGGAGAAGAGGAGCUCAGGGGAGACCUCAUCGCUCUUUCCGACUGCCUGAAAGGAGGCUGGGGUGAGGUGGGGGUCGGCCUCUGCUCUCAGAUAACAGUGAUAAGCUGAGAAUUUGCAGCCUUCAGACCCAUCUAGGCCUUCACCUGGUGAUCUCCUCAGCUGAAUGAAUAUGUCAAGAUCGGUCUUUUCACAUCCAGUCCCCAUUCUGACGCAGCCCUCCGGUGUGCCUGGCUGGAGUCAGCCUCUCCUCCCUCAGUCUCCCAUCCAUGUAACAGGGGGAUUGAAGAGCUCUGCUCCUCGGCUUGUGAGACAGAAUGACCGCAGGUGCUGAGAGAGAGCAGGAAAUCAUCUUUGUAAAGCUGUCCAGAAAGCCUUGAAUUCAGCCUUAUCUGGAGGAUUACCCCACGCAGUUCAGUUCUUGGCAUUCAGCUCCUCUGCAGUCCCCAGCUUCAGCACAGGAAACUCCUUCACCUAGCUGCUGCCAGCAUGCUUUUGGCGACCCUGGCUGUCCCGUCAGCUGUUACAGGCCAUUAAAGGAUUUGUUUCUCGGCGUAUGAAAAGGCUUAAUUCAAUUCUCAUUCUCUUCUGGCAUUCCUCGGAGAGCCUUCUAGGCUGUCAUCUACUUCUGGCUUCGCUCAGACUCUGCAGUCCAAAGAGUCAUGUGCAGUGACCCGCCACCAUCCCUGCUUCAGACUCCAGAGUCAGGCAGAAUGUUCAGAAAGAGAGCCUCGCUCCUUAGAAAAUCCCCAGGGGAGUCUUGCAGGAGAAGAAGUGGGUGACAAAUCCUCUGCCUCUGCUUCCUCGGGGACCCAGGGGGGGGGAACACUCAAAUGUCAGCAUCUGAAGGGAUCACGAAGGAAGCAAGGCGAGCACCAACUACUCUUCCACCUCUCAGAGGUGCCUGCAUACACACAGCCUUGAUACAACCCUGCUGCAGAUUAUAGACGUGUUUUGGUUGAGAUUCUCUGUGCUUGAUGCAUUGUCUGCCUGCAACGCAGGGCAAACUCUACUCCUCCCUUCUGGCCCGGCCUGUAAUGAUGGAUUAAGUAGGUAAGUAAUAGAGUGGUAAUGAGAUAACCACUGACAUCGAGCAUUAACGUGGGAAUAAAUGAAGUUACCAUCCAGAACUAAUGGCCUGAACUAUCACUGGGUUGUAAUUAAUGAACGUGGUGGCUGAGAUUUACAAGGAUAUUUUAGGAUGCUGUUUGCAUGCAGCUUUGGCUUUUAUGGCUUGGUUGGAAAGAAAUCAAUUAAUGCCAUGAACUUAAUGAAUGAGAUGACGAUGUGCUUUGUCAGAUUGUAGUGCCCCUUUUGUGGAAGCGGCUAGACUGGUGUGCACGUGGAAUGCUGUUGUUUGCCUUACUUCAAGGGACGGAAGAAGUUAGGAUACUGUGAUCUCUGUCUCCCUAGGUCACUUACUCUGCAGUGUGUAGUGGAGCUGUUGCAAAGUGUCUCUGAUGGCCAAACUACACACUAGCGGUGUGCCUGUGCUCAAGAGGCCUUGCUUGGAGAGCUGUCCCUCUCUCCUUGCAUGGCUUAGUAGGCAUGUGACCCUGCCAAACACUUUGGAUAUGUGUGAAUAACACUUUUGAGGUGGUUGCUAGGCUGUUGCAGAAAACACAGAAGAGCAGUCAAAAUUCUUCACGUUAAUUGGUGGGAACAAUCCAGCCAUCUCUGCUGACUGUUGCUUCUCUCAUCUUUCCAUGGCAACAGUCUCUCUACAGCAGCCCAGGUGCUCAUGGUUGGGCAUGCUGGGAUUUCUGAGCCCUCUGUCUUCCAAAUCACCCCCUUGGAGCAUGGAGGGAACAUCUGUACCGCUAAAGUAUGGCAUCACAUGAUGCAUCAAAGACAUCUCUUUGUGUAAUCAUGUUCCUUAUGCUGUCAGAGACAGAAAACUUUGGGAACGUGAACUGAGCCCUUACAUUUCUUCAGUGCAAAAUGCUGUUGCCCUGUUCUUUUGAUGAGGAGAGGAAGGUGCUGAGUCUUUCCUGUCCUGGCCGUGUCCAUGGACCGAGCUGUCAUACCAUUCUGAGAGCUGGAGGAAGGAAAUGGACUGGUAAGCAAAGGGAAGGGUGAUGUCUCUCUCUCUGCCACAGAGCCCAGCCUGACUGCUGGUGUGAAGUUGCCUUUUGGAAGCCAGGAUGGUGGCUGGAGGUGAGAAUAAGGAGAGAAAGUGGCUCAGGCACUGCAUCGUCCUCACCUCUGCUCCCUGCUGUGAAUAUAAGCGUGUGGAGAUAGCACAAAGAGGGGUGCUGCCCACUUCUAGCAGGGUAGAGUAGGUAUGGAGGAGGCAUCCCUUCUGCCUUGCCUCUCUGAAGCAUGUUCCAGGCAUGUUCUAGCACCAUUUUCUCUUCUGGGACCUGUUUUACAGGCACUUUUAAUGAUUCUAGGGGAAAAUGAGAGACAGAUGGCCAGUGAUGAACCCAGUCCAAAGCUGCCCAGACUUGAGGGAGGGUGUCGUUUCAGCUGGAAGCAUCACAUCUUUGAGGUGCACGCUCAGUAGUUCCCUUCCACGCUGAACAGGAGGAAGGAAUUUCCACCUGCUGGACCAGCGUAAGCCAAGACCCAAAUUGAGCAAAGUAUGGUUCAUGGAUUUACACAUUAUGUGAUAUGCACCUUCCCUUCCCCCAGCUUUGGGAAGUUUAUUGCCCCCAACAAAGUAUGCCGUGUGGCAGGCUGUUAUGUGACAGGGGAAAAUUACCCAGACUGUUCUCCAGAAGGCAAGUGAGCAAAAAUUUUCCUCCAACUGGUUCAGGACAAAGUUAAUGUAGGAAAGCCAUUAAAAUUAAUGCUGGUAAUCAAGGAUAAAAACCAGCAGGGCUGUAACAAAAUUUGGACCAGAUUGAGUUUCCCAGCUGUCAUGCUGCAUGCUUUCUUAAAGGCAGCAGGCAGAGGGAGGGUGUAGUGUAAGGCAGGCUUGGAAAGUUCUUGUCAAGGGUGUGAGUUUGGGGGCAUCUGGAUUCUGGUGGCAUUGGCUCCUUGGUCCGGCACUGUCUUUUUUUGUUUUUGAGGAAGCAAUGUCUCUGCUUGGUCUGAUGGUCCUUAUGACUUGUGUUUUAUUCAUAUCAUGUUUACCUGCUUUCUUCCAGAGUCUGCCCUCAGAAUUCAGGUCCUUGUCCAGGACUCUGGGAACCUGCCUGCGUGUGAUUGACGGCAUCACGUGAGCGUGUAUGGGGCUGCAUCUCAUGCUGUCGGGUCAGAGAUUACCUCCAAGCAGCCAAUACUCAACAUUCAGUCAGAAAAGAUGCAAAGAAGCAGAGCCAUUCCCCUCUCUGUGUCAUCUGCCUCUGAGAGUGGGAGAGUGCUGGCAGAGCGCUACCGGGUCUGUACUGGUAUAGAGAGGAAGGCUCAGAUUUGAUGAUUUGUCCAUUAUCUGGUGGUGGAUACAGCCUAACCUGGGCUCAGAGCAUCCCAAGGUCUGUAUCCUAGUGCAGGAACUGGCUGCUGCUGCUCUCUUCUGAAUAGACAGCUUUCUCCAGCCUCACAGCAUGCUAAUGUAGGCCAGUCACCUUCACCACAACUCCUGGCGCAAGAUAUUCAGCAGACUUGAUGCUUCAUAGUAGGCUGAAUCUGGUAUAACCAAGGCAGAAUUUCUACCUGCCAGUAGUGAAGUAAUGCCCUGUGAUUUCAAGUGACCACUGGUUUGACAGCAGUAGUGAAAGGGAAAGGCAUGAAUAGGCCGGAUAUCAGGAAAACCUUCUCAGGAGUGAUGAGGCUGUGAAAUGGACUGCCCAGGGAGGUGGUGGAGUCACUGUCCCUGGAGGUGUUCAAGAACUGUGGAGACGUGGCACUGAGGGACGUGGUUUAGUGAGCAAUAAUGGUUGAUGGGUGGACAGCUGGAUUAGAUGGGUCCGACUAGAGGUCCUCCAAUUAGAGGUCUUUUCCAGUCUAAAUGAUUCUAUGAAAGCAGUCGACCGUUUUCUUGCAGUCUCUGAGGAGCUUGGAUAUGGUGUCUGAAACGAGCUAAGGAAGCCACCUAAUCUCUGAGCACAUCCACCUUCUGCAGCAUACACCCUUCCAGCCACAAAGAGGUCCUGAGUCCCUCAGUGGCUGCAAAGAACAGCAGGUAGAUGGAGCAGACAGAGAUGGAGAGCAUUCUUUUGUUGCUUUUUUUUUGGGGGGGGGAGUAUCGUUGAAGAAUCAGGGUGACAAAAAUAUUUUGAUGGAAGUGACUAUGUGAAAUAUCUUUUCAUUUUGAUUAUUUGAAAAACAAAAACUGUUCAUGGGUUUUAAAAUUCAUGUCCCCUCCGGGUUGCUUUGUUUUGUUUUGUUUCUUAUUCCUUCUCCCUUAUUCCUCAGAGGAAGCCAUCCAAACCUACACGGUGCGUCAUUUCUUGAGGAAAUGCAGUGUGAUCUUUUUUUCCAGUUUAACCUGGGCUGAAAAAUCUUCUGGUGUUUCAUUUGCCUGAGAAAUCAGAAAAAAAAAGCUUGGAUGAAACAGGAAUCUGACUGGUUCACAGGGAACCUUCUUGGUUUUGGAGACCCAUUUGGGUGGGGUAGCUGCAGGAGCUCUUUGCUGUGCAGGUUGGGGAGGAGGUGAUGCCAUCUUUGCCUGGGCCAUACUUUGUGCCCAAUGCCUUCUCCAGGGGUGAGGGGCAUAAGGGGUGCAGAGCUGUGUCUUGGUUGCAGCAGGGAACUGCUACCACUGAAGUAUGAUUCUCAGCUUUCUGGAGUUGUGGAAAACAUCUGGACAAUGGUUGAAAUUGGAAGAGCGAAGGGCUAUCCUGGCUUUUGAGGGCAUAUCAUGGGAUGUCCCGCAGGUGGCUUGUUGGAGGUGAACCACAGAGGGAGGACUGCACUGGAGAGGCAUAGAGGCUCACAUGGGACGGGAGUGGUGGCAACUGCCUGUAUGCCUGAAAGCAGGGCAAGCAGUGGGCUGGGGGUGGAGGAGACCACCUCCGCCUGUUGCUGCCAUCUCCACGAGCUGCCAGCUCUGCCGUGUAGCUUUGCCCAGAUCUGCAGUAGAGCUGCUCAUCCCCAGCCCUGCCAUCCCUGUGCCCCACAUGCUGCCUCUCCUAUAAAUAGCCGGAUGGGAAGCAGAGCGCAGAGCCGCCGCAGAUGGCCCCCAGUUCCACGCGCACUCAUGUGUGAGAUCCCAGAGAGGGGCUGUCAAUUCCUUGCCUACAGCCACCCAUGCAACCUCAUUAAGGAUGGUGUCGUCUUCCUUAACCCCCAUCGCCCCCUCCCUCCCCACUUCAACGUGCCUCCAUUUGAGCACCCUUAUUAAACGUGCACUUCUAAGCAAGGAGCGCUGACUUCCCCUUAAUUGAGGCAUAAUAAUUAGAGCAUUAACACAUUAGGAGAGUGAGACAGCAUGUUUAGCUUUUGUGAUUAAUUAUCUGAGGAUUGUAAUAAGUUGUUAAGACAUUAAUUACUCUGGCAUGUUUAUUGCUCUUUAUUGCAGAACUGACACUUGGUGGAAGAGUUGCUGGUGUGCCUGGCGGUGCACCGUGAGGUGGGCUGGCCAGGGGAGACCUCUGCUCCCCCAUAGACACUGAGCUGCUGCUUGGGAAUGGAUCUAGGGGAGCAGAAACAGCUCCUGAACCUCCAGCAGGACACCUCGGGAUGGAAGUGGUGUCUGAAUCUCUUAGAGUCGUAGGAUUAUGAAGGUUGGAAUAAAACACUGAGAGCAUCAGCCCAUCCCCACCGUGCCCACUAAACCAUGUCCCUCAAUGCCGCGUUCUCCCUCAUCUUGGGGCAGCCUGGGAGCUGGAAGGCUUAUUUUUAUGGAUGGUUUCAGCUGGAUUUCUCUCUUCUUUCAAACAAAGUGUUUCCUCUCGGAUGGUUUGAGCCUGCCCUCAUUUGGAUCUUUGUUUUUGCAAAUCCAAGUCAGCGUGGCUCAUUGUGCCUGGAUCUGAGGAGGAUGGCUGUCUGUUAACGACAAGCUGAAGUUCAGCGUGUCGGCGGUGGUCAGGGAGUGAACCAGGACCCCAGUGGCCUCGCUUGGCUCUUGAUCAGAUGAAUUUUCUUCUGGAGAGCUGGGAGGUGGGUUAGGGAAGGCUGUUGCUGUGGCAGCAGGAGUGGAUCAGCCCUCUGCAGCCUGUUCUUCACACAGCAAGCUGCUCAGCGACCUGUCAGAGCUGUGCUGAUCAGAUGGGGGCUGAAGGCAGAGUUCAGAGCAGGAGGAUGGGUGGGUCCAUGUGCUGCUGUGACAGAGAAAAAAGGAAGCAGGAGGCUGCGAUGGGCCUGUUCCAGCCUUCUGCUUUUCCCAUGAGUUGCACAGUGCCAGAGUCUUGCUGUCCAGCUCUUUGGGUGGGGGACAGCACAGGAGAAAUGGGGGGAAAUGGAGUAACAGCCCCAGCCACUGGCAUGGAGAAUAAAACUGGGAAAAUGGUGAAAGUCGAGAAGGUGAGAAAGCUGUGAGUUUUGUGUGUUUGCUGUUGGUUUGAUAUUGGAUGGCCCCAUCCCUGCCGACAGCCAAGGUCAGGCUGGAUGGGCUCUGAGCACCACUAGGGCUGUGAGUGUCCCUGCUCAGUGCAGGAGGGUUGGACCAGAUGGCCUCUGAGGGUCCUUUCCAGCUCAAAACGAUGCUGUGGUUCCUUGGGGAGCCCUAGAGCUGAAAUGUCUGGUUUCCAGCCUAUGGCAGUGCCCUUGUGGCUUUGCAACACGUGCUUGUGUCUUGGGGUAGCAGCCAAGGGAGUGGGAGGGGGUCUUUAAACGUGAAGACCCUGUCCGGUUCGCCUUUCCCAAGGACAGACUGUCUCACUGUGGCUCCCACCAGCUCAAUCUGCUGUCACUGUGUCACUGGCACUGGUGGCCAGGGAGCUGCACAAGGCACUGAAUGCCCUCCUCGUGUGCGAGCUGGGAUCCAUCUUGUGUCAGCUGCCUUCAGCACCUCCGAGCCCACACUGCCUUGCUGAAGCCCAGCCUGAAUAUGGCAUUUGCUGUCAGGUGGCUGAUUUCUGCCUGCAGAAUAUGGAGAGCGUCAGCCUGGCAUUUCCCACUUGCCUCCUAGGGACAAAGCAGGUCAUGACUUCCGUGUAUUAUCAUUAAAAAGAUAAUUUCCUCUAGAUGUGUGCAAUAAGACAAUGGUGCUGACCUGUGAUCCUGGCAUUGCACAGCAUUAAUGAUUUCCCUUUGCAGGUAAUAAGCAGCAAAUGUACACAUUUUGGGGAGAUCUGAAUUAGUUUUUUUCCCUCCUUUUAAGACUGCUGUCUUCCUAGGCCAGACUUAAUUAGCAGACCUCAUUAUUUCCUGAAAUGUAACUUGACUUCCAUUGAAUGAGAAUUGUUCAGUGGAUGGGGAGCAGCAGAGCGGUGCUGCAAUAUUCAUAUUGUUUAAAUUGCAACAUUAACAUUUCAUGCCGCUCUUGGCAUAUUUUCAGGUGCGGCCCUUUAGCUCAAUGCAGUGCUGUGAAAGGUUGGAUCAGAACAAUUAGGAUACAGCGACUGGAUUUCUGGAUUAUUAUUAUUAUUAUUUUUUUUUUAAGCAACACAAGCUUAGAUUCAAUGCCCAUCACUCUAUUUGUUUGGCAGAACAGGGAUUCCAGCGCCCCUGAAGUAAAUGCUUUUCUGGAAUAAAGGAUGUGCUGUAGCACAUGCUCACCUCCUCUCUUAGCAGAGAUGAAGCCCUGCAGGUACAUGCAGUACGUGAUUCGCAGGGCUGGAAGCACCUCCUGGGACUUGACCUUCACUAGCUAAAUAGGAGAACUCCCAAUAAUGCUUCUGGCCACCUAGGCCACAGUCGCACACAAAAAGGCUGUUUCCCACUUUGCCCUUGUUCUUGGAUGCCUCAGGCUGGAGGUGGCACUGUAGUAAUGCCCAGGUCCAAGCGGAUCCUACAUGAGCACGUGGAUUGCACUCCCUAUCUCCAAACAGCCCGUGGGCCUUGGUCCUGCACAGGGGCUCCAGUGACCUUUGCUGCCUUGCCCCAUAGUGUGCUUUCCAGUAGUUUUUCCUGUACUGGAGUUCAGUGUCAAUGAUGGGAGUUAAUGUCAAGGAAUCAUAGAAUACCUGGGUUAGAAGGAACCUUAAAGCCCACCCAGUCCCAACCCUACAGUGGGCUGGCUGCCCCUCCCCCACCAGCUUAGGCUGCCCAAGGCCCAAUCCAGCCUUCCUCGAGCACCUCCAAGGAUGGGACACACGUCUGGGAUUGCCAUGAACCAAGUGCAACACCUUGAAUUUGGCCUUGGCAGUGUCAAGAACAACUCCAGCUUCCACCCUGGAACAACUUAGUUAGGGUCUCUGACUUCAGCCAACCAUGCCUCCCAUUUGUAACGUGUGCAGUGGGAUCCAUGACAUCUUAUCUCCCAUGGAUACGUAGCUUGGGUCAGGGUUCUCUGGUAUCUGGUAAGCUGCUUGUGCUGAACGGAACACCUCCUCUCGUGGGUUAUUUAUAACAUCCUGCUCUCCCACGCAGAUUGUCUGGUGUCUAAUAGUGGAUGAUGCACUACAGUUUGCAAGGUGCUAAUAAUCUCUCUCCUCUGUUUGACAG